rnacentral:lncRNA from 1 species
GAGGUCGGCCGCGUGGCUGGAAGACAUGGCCACUCCAGUCGGUGUUGAGCACGGCGAGCAGUCUCAGGCCUUUAGUGAUGAUGGUGCAGUCAGCCUCAGUUUCCAAAGCCGGAAAAGGAUCCUCUAGUAGCCACGGUGUGGCAGCUGCUCUGAACCAGGACCUGGACCCGGACCCAAAGUGCCAUGUCUUUAAUGUUAGCUCCCAGCGAUGCCAGAUGGGAUCAGCACAGCCCUGCCUCUGCUGCUAAUUGUUCCUCUAAAGUAAUCGCCAUGCGUUCUUUGGGCUUCAUCUUUAAAGGAAUGAAGCAACUGAGAUUAUUCUGGAAAACCUUUUGGCAGUUAGUGAAAUUAGAGUACAACUAAGAACAUUUUCAGACCUCCACUGUGGAUGACCUGGGUAUAAUCUCACAAAUCGAUGGGACUGCAAGGAUUGUAAACUGAAAUGAACAUGAUUAUACUCUGUUGGAAGAGCCUAAGAGGAAACUGAUGCCAUGAGUUUCAGAGAGUAAUGCUUAACCCCAGUUACACAGGAUGCCGUCUUGUGUUUCCUCUUGUUUAGUUACCCACUACAGUGAUUUUGUGAUCUGCUAAUGGGUUGCCACCCACAACCAUUGCUUUAGCACUUUUACUUCAAAUCAAUGAAGGAUUGAUAAAAGUUCUCCUGGUGUCUCCGCAGAGUGCCUUCCAGGAACAGAUCUUUGCAUAGAAUAUCAGUGGUUUCCUUUUUUGUUUCAAAUAGUGGUCAGAAAAUACCCAGUGUUGACUCACCAAGGCAAUCAGCUUCCUUUUUCCCUUUUUUUGUUUUUUUUUUAACAUUUUAUAUUUUUGCUUUAUUUUAUUUUAUUUUAUUUUUUGAGACGGAGUUCCACUCUGUCGCCAGGCUGGAGUGAAGUGGUACAAUCUUGGCUCACUGCAACCUCCACCUCCCGGGUUCAAGCAAUUCUCCUGGCUCAGCCUCCUGAGUGCUGGGACUACAGGCGCGUACCUUCUUUAGUAGAGACUGGGUUUCACCAUGUUGGCCAGGAUGGUCUCUAUCUCCUGACCUUGUGAUCUGCCUGCCUCAGCUUCCCAAAGUGCUGAGAUGACAGGUGUGAGCCAUCAGACCCAGCAUUUUUUUUUUUAAUUUAAAUUUAAAUUUUUUUUCAUUUUUUUGAGAGGUUUUUUUUGUUUUGUUUUGUUGUUGUUGUUGUUGUUGUUUUUGAGACAGUCUUGCUCUGUCACCCAGGCUGGGAGUGCAGUGGCAUGAUCUCUGCAACCUCUACCUCCCAGGUUCAAGCAAUUCUUGUGCCUCAGCCUCCCAAGUAACUGGGACUACAGGUGCACGCUACCACACCUGGCUGAUUUUUUUUGUUUUAGUAGAGACAGGGUUUCAACCAUGUUGCCCAGGUUGGUCUCAAACUCCUGAGCUCAGGCAAUCCACCCGCCUUGGCCUCCCAAAGUGCUAGGAUUACAGGUGUGAGCCACCACACCCAGCUAUUUUUUCUUUCGUUUUUUAAUUUUAAAGUUGGGGGGGGGUCUCAAUUUGUUACCCUGGCUGGUCUCGAACUCCCGGACUUAAGCGAUCCUCUGGCUCCAAGCCCACUACCAGUCUCAGGUUUCUUUACUAAAAGAUCACUACCUUUUUUUCUCUUAUCUGCUGCCAUGUGAGAUGUGGCUUUCACCUUCCGCCAUGAUUGUGAGGCCUUCCCAGCCAUGUAGAACUGUAAGUCCAAUAAACCUCUUUUGUAAAUUAAAAAAAAAAAAUCACUAUUUAAGAUACUAGGAUGGAUUGUGACUGUUGAGGAGUACUUACAUAUCCUACAUUUGACUACAUUAUUUCCAAACCAAGUAUUCCAUCCAAAGGAACAUACUGCUAUCAUAGAGACCAAGGAGGGACUGUUUAAGGUUGCCAAGGUGAAGCGAGCUGAGAGGCUUUGUCCUCGUGCCAGUAACUCUGAAAUCUCUCUUAAUUCCUGCUGUCCAGGCAGCAGAAUGCCAUGGUUUCCCCAAGUAGGUAGCUGCUUUAGCAGUUAAAGCCCAAAUGUCUGUUCUGUUGAUCAGAGGUCUCUGAAUUUCUGAAGUGGUGUUUCGUUUCUGGUGACUGAGUUAAUCCUUUACAAUCCCUCUUGUAAAGUGUGCUAAUAGAAAGAAUCCACCUUUCAAAGCUGCAGAACCAGACCGUGCCCUAAAUUGACCAACGUAACUGAUGUGCCUCAGGAAGUCUCUUGCCAGCUGUCCCUGUGAAGACCCCCCUCCUCCCCCCCAGCUGCUGCCUUGCACACUGAAGCAUCUCAGACUGUGCAAAGCCGUGUAGUCAUCAAGACAGUAAAUCCCAGGGCUUGGUUAAGUGCUGUGUGAUAACUUGUUUGGAUGAGACUUAACUUAAAACCACUUACAAUAAACUUGGGAAACUACCGUCAAAAAAAAA